rnacentral:rRNA from 1 species
CUAGCAUAUCAAUAAGCGGAGGAAAAGAAACCAACAGGGAUUGCCCUAGUAACGGCGAGUGAAGCGGCAACAGCUCAAAUUUGAAAUCUGGCUUCGGCCCGAGUUGUAAUUUGCAGAGGAUGUUUAUGGUGCGGUACUUUCCGAGUUCCCUGGAACGGGACGCCACAGAGGGUGAGAGCCCCGUCUGGAUGGAUACCAAACCUGUGUUAAACUCCUUCAACGAGUCGAGUAGUUUGGGAAUGCUGCUCUAAAUGGGAGGUAAAUCUCUUCUAAAGCUAAAUAUAGGCCAGAGACCGAUAGCGCACAAGUAGAGUGAUCGAAAGAUGAAAAGCACCUUGAAAAGGGGGUUAAACAGUACGUGAAAUUGUUGAAAGGGAAGCGUUUAUGACCAGACUUGUGUCGUGUGGCUCAUCCGAGGUUCUCCCCGGUGCACUCCACGCGGCUCAGGCCAACAUCGGUUUCUGUCGGGGGAGAAGAACAGUAGGAACGUAGCUCUCCUUCGGGAGAGUGUUAUAGCCUAUUGUACGAUACUCUGACGGGGACCGAGGACCGCGCUUCGGCUAGGAUGUUGGCGUAAUGGUCAUUAGCGACCCGUCUUGAAACACGGACCAAGGAGUCGUCCAUUAGAGCGAGCGUUUGGGUGUAAAACCCGCACGCGUAAUGAAAGUGAAAUUAGGUGAGAGCUUCGGCGCAUCAUCGACCGAUCCUGAAGUUUACGGAUGGAUUUGAGUAAGAGUUUUAACGGACGGACCCGAAAGACAGUGAACUAUGCUUGAAUAGGGUGAAGCCAGAGGAAACUCUGGUGGAGGCUCGCAGCGGUUCUGACGUGCAAAUCGAUCGUCAAAUUUGAGCAUGGGGGCGAAAGACUAAUCGAACU